ensembl:lncRNA
UCUUGUCUCCCAGAGUGACUCAACUGAGAGCAGCCUUCUAGAGGAAGAACCCACCAAUGUGUCACAGUAUUUCAUCGGUGACGUCUUUACAGAAGUGAAAAGUGAUGAUUGUCCAGUCCCCGUAAAAUCAAAUGACACUACUGGUGCUGGUCAAACAGCAGAGACGAUAAGGAACAAAAGCCAAAAUAGAAAAACAAAAGCCCCAUGUGAUCCUUCCAUUGGACAGUGCGUCACUAAAAAUGACUCAACUGUGAUCAGCUUACUGGACGAAGAACCCACCAGUGUGUCCCAGUAUCUAGUAGAAGAUGCUUUCACAGAGGUGGAAAGUGGCAACAUUUCAGUUACAGGGAAAUCGAAUAAAGACAAAGUGGCUUGCGAUGAAAAAACACCAGCUCAAACUUCAGAAACAAUAGGGAAAAAAAGGCAAAAAAGAAAAACGAAAGCUUCCAGUGAUCCUCCAUGUGCACAAUAUGACCCACUGACUGAAGGGCAACCAUCAGAAGCGUCAGUUGCUAAUGAAACACAAAGAAAUGUUGAUGUCAAACAAUUUCACACAGAAAGGACUAGAGGAAAGGAACAGUCCAGUAGGAAUAAUAAAUCCACCGUUAAAGCCAGGGGACCACGGCCUCAAAGGCAAUGUACAGCAGCACUAAAAUCUCCUGAAACUCCU